rfam:Triticum urartu cultivar G1812 contig255391, whole genome shotgun sequence.
CUAGUACUCCCUCCGUCUGGAAAUACUUGUCUUCGAAAUGGAUAAAAUUGAUGUAUCUAUAAGUAAAAUAAGUCUAGAUACAACCAUUUCAAGGACAAGUAUUUCCGGACGGAGGGAGUAUCAG